GAGAACAAAGGAAGGAGGAAGUAACUGGUGGAAUGCUGAGAAAGCAUUUCAGUGUGCGGCAUCAUCAUGCAAGCUCUGUAAGAGGAGAGUAAGAUCAGUACUCCUACUUGUAAAUGAAAGAGAAGAAAACAAAAACAAGCAAAUUCCUUCUAAGGUGUGAGGAACACGAGUAAACAGAGAAAUCACCUAAGGAGAAAACAGGAAGCAGAUUUGAAACUGUGGCCACCAACGACACGAGGGAGCGCAAAACCCAGCCCACUUGCCAGGGAGGCUGGCAGAGCCCACACCCAGUCUGGUGCCCUGGUCGGUUACAUUCUGCUUUUUGAAGCAGCGUUCAAAAUCAGUUGUGGAUCAAGUCAAGAUGAACUCUGAAACAAUACUUUAAAUACCCCUGGAUGAUUUUGAAGCUCCCUGCAGCAUUUUUAGAAGGUACCAAAUAAGAAAAACGUGGAUGAAGAUGGAGAAAGCAUACAAAACUUUUACACACUGGUUUGAAGCUGUCACCGCGCGGAACAUAAAGAACAGGCCAAGACCAGUGCAGGCAUCGACGACUUUCUCCAUUCAGAGCCUCCGCGCAUC
rnacentral:lncRNA from 1 species